UUUUUUAGUUGUUGCUGGUCGUGGAGGAGAAAAUGCGCAUCGUAUUGUUCUAUCGUAUCAUCAUCAUUUGUUGCUUUGGAUGUCAAUUGGAUGUUGUGAGGCUUUUUGAGAAUUCUCGAUGGAUCAUGUACGUGUGCGGGAAGAAUUUGUAUUGAGAUGUGGAGAUAGUGUUCACUCU